rnacentral:lncRNA from 1 species
GUGGCAUACUGUAUUGGGUGGGCAGGCAGAAAAUGAUCAGAGUAAGGUUGAAUGUGUACUGUGCAGAAAGCUCUUCUGAGCCAAGUGAAAAUCAACUUGGAAAUUCUCUUUUUCUCCUGUGUCCACGCCAUCAUCAAGUUAUGUGAGCUCAAGUGCAUAUCUGGAAUCAGAUCAUUUCUCACCACUAACAUUGCUGUCACCAUGGUGCCAUGUCUAAGUCUAUCAGAUUGCACUUAGAUUUCUUUAAGAACUUCCUCCUGCCUUUGCCUACCUACAGUCUUCACUUUUUUUGUUGUUGUUCUUUUUAGAUGUAAAUGACAAUAGAGUGCAUUUUGACAUAUCCUACCCUAGAUAAUAUAGAACAAGUCACUGCAUCUUUCUUAGCUUCCUCUUCUACUAACUUAGUAUAACUUAUUCUAAUUAGGAUCCCAUUCUUAUGGUCUUACAUGAUAUGGAGUUUUACUGCUCAUGUAUUCAUAUAUGAACAUAGGAAAGUUAUGUUCAAUUCAUUCCCUUUUGUCUAAUCCAAUGAACUUCUAAUCCUCCCAACCCCCCACUGUGUGUUAGCAUACACAUAUUAAAACAUUCAGCCUUUGGUUUGGGAGGAUGGUUUAUUUCACUUAGCAUGAUAUUUUUCAGUUCCAUCCAUUUAUCUUCAAAUGCCAUCAUUUCAUUCUUCUUUAUGGC